rnacentral:rRNA from 1 species
UGGUAGUCCACGCUGUAAACGAUGAGUACUAGCUGUUGGAGUCGGUGUAAAGGCUCUAGUGGCGCAGCUAACGCGAUAAGUACUCCGCCUGGGGACUACGGCCGCAAGGCUAAAACUCAAAGGAAUUGACGGGGACCCGCACAAGCGGUGGAGCAUGUGGUUUAAUUCGAUGCAACGCGAAGAACCUUACCUGGUCUUGACAUCCUGCGAGCUUUCUAGAGAUAGAUUGGUGCCUUCGGGAACGCAGUGACAGGUGCUGCACGGCUGUCGUCAGCUCGUGUUGUGAAAUGUUGGGUUAAGUCCCGC